AGUGAACGCUGGCGGUAGGCCUAACACAUGCAAGUCGAACGGCAGCACAGUUAGAGCUUGCUCUUACGGGUGGCGAGUGGCGGACGGGUGAGGAAUACAUCGGAAUCUACUUUUUCGUGGGGGAUAACGUAGGGAAACUUACGCUAAUACCGCAUACGACCUACGGGUGACAGCAGGGGAUCUUCGGACCUUGCGCGAUUGAAUGAGCCGAUGUCGGAUUAGCUAGUUGGCGGGGUAAAGGCCCACCAAGGCGACGAUCCGUAGCUGGUCUGAGAGGAUGAUCAGCCACACUGGAACUGAGACACGGUCCAGACUCCUACGGGAGGCAGCAGUGGGGAAUAUUGGACAAAGGGCGCAAGCCUGAUCCAGCCAUACCGCGUGGGUGAAGAAGGCCUUCGGGUUGUAAAGCCCUUUUGUUGGGAAAGAAAAGCAGCAGGUUAAUACCCCGCUGUUCUGACGGUACCCAAAGAAUAAGCACCGGCUAACUUCGUG
rnacentral:rRNA from 1 species